AUGAAUUAUGGUUCGAACACAAGAGCCAGCGGACUGGAAAACCAGGAGCGGAGCUGAAUAACCAGCAGACCGGAAAGUUGGAGCGGGACGCGACAGCCGUUUUGAUUUGGGAUUGAAAUGAGAAAAGAACUCUUUUAAAAGUCAAGGGCUGUUGAAGGAGUGGUGCACCACUCAAAAGCAAGAAACCUGAGACUCAUUGACUGAUUAAGAAGAGGAAAGGAUGCCAAGAAUGGGA